rnacentral:rRNA from 1 species
AAUAGCUUGCUAAUGAAAUUCUUAGUGGCGGACGGGUUAGUAACACGUGAGAAUCCUACCCUUGAGUGGGGAAUAGCCUUUCGAAAGGAAGAUUAAUGCCCCAUAGUCUCUACGGAGUAAAGAUGCCUUCGGGUGUCGCUUAAGGAUGGGCUCGCGGCCUAUCAGCUAGUUGGUGAGGUAAGAGCUCACCAAGGCAACGACGGGUAGCUGGUCUGAGAGGACGAUCAGCAACACUGGAACUGAGACACGGUCCAGACACCUACGGGUGGCAGCAGUCGAGAAUCAUUCACAAUGGACGAAAGUCUGAUGGUGCAACGCCGCGUGGAGGAUGACGGCCCUAGGGUUGUAAACUCCUGUCAUCAGGGAGUAAGACUUACUCGUUAAUAGCGUGUAAGUUUGAUAGUACCUGAAGAGGAAGGGACGGCUAACUUCGUGCCAGCAGCCGCGGUAAUACGAAGGUCCCAAGCGUUGUUCGGAAUAACUGGGCGUAAAGCGUGUGUAGGCCGCGCGGAAAGUCGGAUGUGAAAGCCCAAGGCUCAACCUUGGAACUGCAUCCGAUACUCCCGUGCUA